UAUCUUCUCUUUCUUCCUGCCUUGAACAGGAAUGUGGUGACUGGUGCUGUGGCAGCCAUCUUGCAACUAUGAGGCAGACACAGAGAGCAUUUCAGUGUCAUCACUGUUGCUAUGGUGAAGAGGCAAAAGAAGAAGGAAGCACAUCCUAGAAUCUACUUGUGAAGAUAAACCUUACUCAUGGGAAACAUUGAGCCAUCCGAUGAGACCCAGGCUCUGUAAACACCAAGAC
rnacentral:lncRNA from 1 species